rnacentral:lncRNA from 1 species
AUUCCUGACCUUAAGUCGAUUGGUGUUCCUGAAUCGCGACAUAAGGGCAGACUGGAUGAAAAAGGCAUGCUAGAAGGGGACAAAUAAUAUGUAUGGACAGACAUUCUCUCACUGAAGCACACUACACAGUUUUACAGAAUUCCGCCUUGGUGGCUCCGUAUAUGGAUGAACACAAGAAUUUGCUACGCUCCAAACACCCGGAGCGGUCUGAUGACUGGAUUACGCGUGAACAAACCAGGAGUUUCGCCAGCUGGUUGCAGACACGUACCAUGCAUGAAGCCUCUAUUAAAGAUGACUUGUACUUGUUGUACCAGUUACCAUCUUCGAAUAUAAUGACUUUCAAAGGGUACGAGAUAAAUGGUAAUACAUUUUACACGAUCGCCCAAGAUAAGAAGAGCACCAACCAAAACAGUGGUGUCCGCUUUGAUGCAGAAACCAAGAUGGUAAAGGAAGCAUAUUAUGGUUAUAUACAGGAUAUAUGGGAACUUGACUAUCGACGUGGUUUGAAGGUCCCUUUGUUUCGGUGCAAAUGGGUCAAUAUGACACAAGGCGGGGUAACGGAAGACCCGCAAUACGGAAUGACAACAAUGGAUCUCAACAAUCUUGCGUAUGUAGACGAACCAUUCAUCCUAGCCAAUGAUGCACAGGGUUUCUAUGUGAAGGACAUGUCUACCAAGCCGAGAAAAUGAAAAGAUAAGGAAGCGAAUGCAUCGUACGAUGAGCCAAAGCGGCACAUAGUUUUUUCUGGGAAGAGAAACAUCGUGGGAGUGGAUGACAAGACAGACAUGUCAAGAGAUUAUGAAAAGUUUGAUGAAAUUGCUCCAUUCACAAUGAAUAUUGACCCGAGCAUCCCAUUAAAUGAUGAAAAAAUUUCAUGGUUACGGCGCAAAGGAACACACGCGAAUAAAAAAUUUCACACCCAAAGAUCUGGGAUGUGAUCAACUUCACUAUCAUCACUUUCUUCUGUAUUUCACACCCAGGAGGGAAUCUCUGUAAUAGUUAGGGUAGUUAUGUGUUUUGGCAUUUGAAACGCGAAGAAAUUUUAUGUGCAAACAAAUACUUUCAUGCCUUUACUUAUUUUUUCAGCUAAAAAGGCAUUUCAUUUUUUAAAUAACCUAAGCAUUACCAAAUCGAAUAUAAUGAUAAAACACACUAAUAUUAAACAUAAUAAAAAAGAAUCACUGAAAAAUGUAUUUUUAAAGUUAAGUCAUUCACAAACUAGUGAUUCACACAAAUUUCAAAUAAUUUAAAAUUUAAACUAUUCAAAUUUAAAAACUACCGGCACUAACUGAAAGUUUCUAAAAACUAUCAAAAAUAUUCACAAAGAAACUCCAAAUACAGCAAAAAACAACUAAAAAUAAAUAAAACAAAAUAAAUAAAGCAGAAAAGAAAAACCUAAUGAAAAAAAGCCCACCUACUGGGCCACAACGGCCUGCAUACGACUAGAAACCCAACCUGUUGUUGGGCCAGGAUGCAGGCCCGCAAGCCCAAUAGGCCCCACAGGGUAGAGUAGCAGAGGUAGGCCCUCAAGGCUUGCUUUAGAGAGGAGCUCGAGACAGCAGCGGCGGCGGGGCUUAUAAGCAAGUGCGAUCGCCCUUCGGCUAGCGAGAUGAGACUAAACUUCUGCGCCCCUCGCCUGGCAGCGCACCCCCUCUAGUAUCGGGUCGUGGCAUCAACCGGUACUAAAGGGGCGGUCUUUAGUACCGGUUGGAGCCACCACCCGGUACUAAAGGCCUGCUCUUCCCGCCGCUUGGCCUGAGCAAAACAGGCCUUUAGUAUCGGUUGGUAGCUCCAACCGGUACUAAAGGUGCCUUCUAUAUAUACAUCACUUCGAAAAGUUUCAUUCUCUCUCUGUUUCUUUCUUUGUUUCCCCAUUGAAGCAACGCCCGCCCCGAUCGAUCGACGCCGUCGCCGCCCCCGUCCCGCGCCAUCCCCGUCGCCGCCCCCAUCCCCGUCGCGCCGUCCCCGCGUCGCCGCCCCCAUCACGCCCCGGCCCAUCGCCGCCCUAGGUCGUUGCCUCGCUGUCGCCCCGCUGUGAGCUCUCCCCCUCUAACCCCUCUCCCUCGCCCCCGGCGGCCACCAUGGGCGCCGCCCCUCCCCGAGCCCAUAUACACACACACACAAGCAUGAUGAACACACACACACACACACAUAUUUCCUUAAGUUAAUUAGUAUAUACGUAUUUUGUAUGUUUAAUUAGUUUAGAUUUUUUAGAUUAUUAUUUUUUCACUAGUAUAUAUGUAUGAAUGCAUGUUAGAUGGAUAUAAUUAGUGUUUAAUUAGUAUGGAAUUUUUUAUAUAAUGUUGUUUUUCUGUUUUUUAAUGGAUGUAUAGAAGUUGUUUUUUCUGUUUUUAGUGUUAGAUGUUUAAUUAGUAUGAAAUAGCAUAUAGAAUUUUGACAUAUGCAAUGAUAGCAUAAUUAGUGUUACAUUUGCAUAUAGUAUUUGUUGUCGACGAUGUCCGGCCCGCCGUUGCUUUUACAAAUCCCCCCGAGGCAAUCUUUCAUUGCAACUCGAUUCCAGCGGGCUAUGCUCGUGUCUUGGUUGAUGAGGUGGUGGACCCAUAUUCGAGGCUACAGCUUGACAUUCUAGGAGGUGACAACGAGCACACAUUGGGAGAGGCCAUACAUCGUAUCAUCCUAUGGAGAAAUGAUUGCAUCGUUUUUCAAAGACCACCGACACCGUGUCACCCGACUCCUCGUCGAAGUCCGCCACCGAGUCAGCAGACUCCCGCUCCUCCAAGUCCACCAACGCGUGAGGCCACUCCUCCUCCUCCAAGUCCGGCAAAGUGUCAGGCCACUCCUCCUGUAAGUCCGACACAGCAUCAGACGUCCACUCCUCCUCCAAGUCCGGCACAACUUCAGGCCACUCCUCCUCCAAGUCCGGCACAGUUUCAGGCCACUCCUCCUCCUGCAACUCAGCCAUAUCAUCCAUCUUCGCCGCCUCAGCAAUCACGGAAGAGAGCCGCCUCAGCUAUGGUGCGUAGCAGUACAAGUCGAGGUAGUAUUGGAGGUACAGGUGGAGGCAAGCGAUCUCAAUAUGGUCCAAGCAGGCUCGCGCCUCUUCCGCAGAGGCCUUACGACAAGUCCGAGGAGGAAAAUGCAGCCAUAUCGAAGGCCGAGGUGGAAGCCCAUUUUGCACCGAAACCGCCACCGCCGCCAAGGGAGAAAGUGCCUGAGGAAAAGAUUGACCACUUCAUUCGUAUGGCUAGAGCACCAGCUCCCAAGUCUGUUGACACGGACUAUGAGCGCCACCUCAGGAAGUUAAAUCGAUCACGUCUACAGAAAGAGACGAGCUCGAGCUCGAGCAAAUCAGCUGGCAAAAGGAACGGUAAAACCGUUCCCUAGCUGGGAGAACAGGCGGCGCAAUCAACCCCCCCGCUUGUUGUGCCAACAACACAUGAGAGUACGCGCACCCAAUAUUAUUGUGGGCAAACCGUUAACGUUCCCGGACUGGGCAAUGUGGUAAUAACCGAGGAGCAUAUUGAGCAGGCUAAAAGGCUCAUGAUCACUAUUGGACAACUCCUCGAUAUCGAGCCCAUGUCUCUGAUUAGAGAGGAGGAAAUAAAACGGAAAUAUGUCCGGGGCCAACCUUUGAUCGAGCCAGACGAGGUCAAGAAGCUCCCAACGAGAAUGUAUGAAUUGCAUCAAUGGUACAUGGACAUUACCAAGAUUUCCAAUCAAGAGUUCCUCAUGGUGAAUGUCAAGAAGGAUCAUUACUACCAUGAGAAAGCUGUGUCCGUUGAGUAUUCAGAACUAUUUCAGUUAUACAAUCAAGACGCACUCGACAAAUCUAUCGUCAGUUGCUAUUGUCUGUAAGUGAUUUCUUUCUGUAAUUUAAGUCUCAAGCUAGUUGUAGUGAUCAUUUUGAUCAAUCAUUACCUGUAAUUAUUCUUACUAUAUUCUUUUCUGAGGUAUUAUGCAGGAUGAAGAUUUAUGAAAUGAAAAAAGGUGGACGCUAUGGCAUUGGGUUCGUUGACCCAAAUACCAUUAACGAAUACACAUGGAAAUUAGAUCCAUAUUAUGAAAAAAGUGUAGAGGAAAGCAUGCUAGAGUUCUUCAAGCGCCUCAAUACCAAUAAAGAUAUGCUACUUCCUUACAACUUCGAGUGAGUCACACUGUCUUGUACUACAAAUUCUGUUUUGCCUACUAGCUAGCUACAUGUUUUUGCUUACAUAUGCCCGCUUAAUUAAGACAUGCAAACAUGUGUGCAUGCAGAUUUCACUGGAUCUUGUUAAUCAUUAAAGUUGAUGAAGGAACAAUUGAAAUACUGGACUCACUACUUAAAAAAGCAAGUGACUACACCUUCUUGUUUGGGAUAGUCAACAGGUAAUUUCAAUCAUUAUUAACUAUAUCUCAGCCUAUUUAGUUCGUCAUUUCCUGAUAUGAAUCAUUUAACAACUCCUUUAUUCAUUUUCUUUGUCGGCGGACAGGGCUUGGACAAAGUUCAUCAGCGUCACUCCAGGCCAAUGACAAAAAAGCUGAAAUGGUAUCGACUCAAGGUAAGUAAUUAAAUAGUACUAGCUAGCUAGCUGUCAUCUCUUUAAUUAUCAUGCUUGAUUAAUUAUUAUCUGAUCAAAUUCCAUUCUCGUAAAGGCCCUGAAGCAGGCGUCAGGGAAUAAUCUGUGUACAUACUAUGUUUGCGAGAACAUUCACAUGAUGGCGUCCGAAAGGAGCAGAUCUCAAAGACAGGAGUGAGUACGUUUGUCAGAACACUAUUCACAAUUUUUACACCAUUAUCGAUAUCUAGUCACACAACUAAUACACAUGCAUAUUGAUCUCCUUCUUAACAGUUCAAAGAGGUGCAGGAGCAGCUCCUACCAGAGGACCGCAUAAAAGCAAUUCAAGAGGAAAUAGCGGGAUUUUUGCUCAACCAGGUCAUAGAUCCCAAAGAAUAAUACUAUUACCCGCUACCGCCUCAUGAACCACUUCCAAUUGUCAUCGUGCUCCGAAUGCACCAAUUAGGCUAAUGCCACUAGCUCCGAAGGCACCAAUUGGAAGAAAUUGUAUAUAGCUAUCUAAUUUUAUACAUAUAUACAUGUGUGUAUAUAUGUGUGAAUUAAUGGUGGUUGUGAGACAUUCGAUGAUAUAUAUAUAUAUAUAUAUAUAUAUAUAUAUAUAUAUAUAUAUAUAUGAUCGGUUCUACUAGAAAUUCUAUUUAUAUAUAUGCAUAACGUGUAUAAGAUGUAACAUCGUAAAAUACCAGCAAAUGAAAAAAAAUUAAAUGGAAAACACAAAAUUAAAUGAAAAAGAAAUCAUAAACCCAAAACCCCCAACUUUUUAAUACCGGUUGGUGUCACCAACUGGUACUAAAGGGCUCCCUGCCCCCGGAGCUGGCUCGUACCACGUGGUUGCCCUUUAGCACCGAUUCGUGCUGAACCGGUACUAAAGGGGGGGGGGGGCUUUAGUGCCCACACUUUAGUGCCGGUUACCAAAUCGGUGCUAUUGCCUGGUUCUGCACUAGUGACGCGGGUGCGGCUGGAGCGAGGGCGAAGCACGGCGCCGCGUCGGGCGCGACGGCGGACAUGCGGCGCGACAGGAGCGAGGGCGUGCAUGAGCAGGAGCGGCCGCGGCGACGCCUGCUACGUGUUCGAAGAAAUGACGAGGACGGACAGCUGAUGAAAUGGGGUGAAAAUGAGGUAGCAGCACUGCGUGCAGCGAGUUUGUCCAGCCUUUGUCCGGUGUUUGUUCUCCUAUUUCUACUCUAUACGAAUAAAAAUCCGAACAAAAUGGGUAUAGAUUUAGCAUCGUGCGGUGGAGUUGGCCUUAGAUCGACGACGACGAGCUGGCUUAAUCAGCCGAGCCCUUUGCGUGCGUGAGUGUAUCGCGUACGAUAGUAACACGCCACUUGGUGCAUCCAAAUUGGGCAGGUGAGUACUCUAUUAUCAGUUGCGCGGCUGUGGGUGGGCUUGUCAUUGUGCCGGACCUUGAAUGCCUCCAAAGAUUGAAAUGCCUAAAUCACAUGAUCAACAAUAAGUGAACAUGCAAACAUAUACACGGCCAAAGUGUCAUGGCCGUAGCAAGGAAAGGGCUAGGAAGAGGAGUGCAUACCAUGUACCCAACGCCGAGACCACUCACGGGCCAUGCUUCAAAGCUCUCUAAUGUGGCGCAAUACUUGUUGCACUCUUGUUGGAUGAACAACCAUCUCUUUUGAAUCGAGCCGAUGCCAUGGUUGCUUGUAAAUUGGUAGGGCUAAAACAUCUUCCUUUCAUGGAAUGUUUUGUGGACUCUCGUCCAAAAAACAAUGCCCUUUUGUUGCGCGUCGGUCCUCGGAUCUUGGCUAAUCUCCAUCCAAGCUUGGCAAAUCAACUUGUCCUCAUCUUGUGUGUAUGAACCCGUGCGAAUGCUCUUCCUCUUCUUUUGUGCUUCCGCUCUUUGGGUGAGCUCGUCGAUGAACAAUGGCUCGCCACUAAUAUCAACGUCGUUACCUUCUUCUUCAUCACCUUCGACAUAGAUGUCAUCGUCUCCAUGCCACGAGUCACCAUGGUCGUAGUCAGCACGGUAGUCGGCCUCUUCAUCGGGCACGUACUCGGCGCGGCCAUCCUGACUUUGGAUCUCCUCGGGGUCGUAGGCACGGCCAUGCCCACUCUUGAAGAUCACGUCCUUCAUGUACUGGUUGUAGAAGGGGUCGUUGACUGUUGGCGUUGGGGUUGGCAUUCCGUCAAACAAGACGCGGGGGGCCGGCAUGGUGCCCGUGAACGGUGCCCGUGCCUGCUUUCUUUGCAUCUCGACGGACGGCCGCCCGCCGCUGUUGGACCCAGGCUUGACGUUGAGGUCGAUGACGGUCAUGGGGCGCGGUGUGGACGGCGCGAACAAGCCCACGUCCGGCAACGCCGAGAAACGGGUCUGGCCGUCGUGCCUUGGCGGAGAAAAGCCGGGCGACAUGGGCGCGGCGCGCAACGUCGGCGACUCGCAGUGCGUAGGCCGGGCGACCGACGAGCCUAUGCUCGCCGGGCCGACGACCGUUGCAGGGAACCCGGCCGGACGGCCCAUGCCACCAAGCAUGAGGAUGGCGUGCGCUUUGUUGACGAGGUCCUCCUUCUCGUCGGCAGCGGCCUUGCGCCGCGCGGCCUCCAGCUCCCCGCGUUGGGCGGCGAACUUGGCCGCGGCAGCAUUGACCUUGACGGCCGCUCUCCGUUCCCUCCUCUUCGCCGAUUCCGCGUCUAACUUGGCGAUCUUCUCCGGCGUGCACUCCGACCGCGGCUUCCUUGGCGCCUUCUUCUUCACCUUUGUGGGCGGGUCGACGGCCAGGCCGCCGGAACUCGGCGGGGCGUCGGCCAUGGCCGGGGGAGAGAGGGGCGGCGGGAGGGACGUGGAAGGGUUUGGGGGAAAUGACGGCAAAUGGGCGUGGGUGGGUUUUGGUUUCUCCCACUGACAGGCGGGCCAGGGGAAGACAAGCGUGCGCGUCCCACCCGUCCGCGCGCUGUCUGUUUCACCCCAAAACCGGCGCAAACUUGGGCCGGGGAUGGGUCGAAAGCGGACACAAAGCGAACAAAAGUCCGUUUGCGCCCGCGCUGGGCCGUCUCGUUUGUCCGUUUUAUCCCAAACGAACGGGGGCGAACAGGAUAGGGUCGUGCGGUGGAGUUAGCCUUGCCUCCUACAUCAACGGCCGGCAACACAACAGGCUGCUAGGUACGUACUCGCUCUGUUUCAUAUUACUUGUCGUGGUUAGCUAGGUGGGCAGUGGUGUACGUUGAGCAUGUGGUGCCGCACAGCUAGCUGGACCGAUCCUGGCUGGAUACGUACGAGUAGACUAAUCAUGUAUGCAAUGCAACGGCACCUCUUGCCACUCGGCGUACAUAUACACACACGCGCGCUCGGCACAUGGCGUUACUGGCGAGCCUUCCUGGCUCCUGCACAUGCCUUGCCGGCCGCCUGCUCUGCAUCCACUGGACCAGAGCUAGCUUAUUGUCUAAUCCAUCAUGUCCAAAUGCAUGGCGCAUUCGUGGAUUCAUGCUUUGCCAUGACACUCUCACAAUUAACCGAUGAUUAACCCUCUGGCCUCUGCGCCGCAUCGAUGGAACAUGAUCUCCCAUCGACCAGCACUGUCACAGCGAUCGAUCAUGUGUUCGAAAUCCUCGGACGUACGCGGCGAUCAAGCAGGGUAUCCUUGCAUGUGCAUGCCUAGGGUCGUAAAGCCCGGCUAUCUUUUGCAUGGGUGCACGCGUACGAACAACCGAGCAUGCAUGCAUCCUCGACAAGGCCCUUUUUGCUGUACGUGGAUUCCACUACAGGUGAUUUCGGGGUGUAGUUCAUUAAGUAGCUAUGGAUGUCAUCUCCUAUCGAUCAGUUCCUUGAACAGCAGCGAUUAAUUAGUAGGACUGGCAAUGCUAUAGUGAUUAGUGAGCAGAUUAGCUUAUAAUGCUCACAACUUUGUGUUACGGACCAUCAUGCAUGUUCGUACCUACUACGUACGGUUGGGUUACGGCGGCACCAUAGACCCCGGAACUGGUCCUCCAUUACCCCUAUACCACUAUGAUUAAUCCGAGUAAGAUAUGCUUACUGCCUCUCUUGAUCGAUCUGUUCUCCAGCUAAGGAGCUUGGGUUUCUCACGUCAUGGCCCUUCUUGAAGGCGUCGGCUUGGGGUAGGGUUGGGGAUGGUGUGAUGCAAUGUGUGGGUUGGUGGCGGCCGCGGUGCAGUGCGUCCCCGGAUCGAUGCCCGACAUCGGUGGAAGCGGAGGGUUUGAGUCUUGUUACCCUUCAGCGGCGGUUGCAUGCACUGCUGUGCUCGUGCUUCCCGGUCGUUGAACGGCAUCCCUGUGCUAGAUGUAGGGGGAUAGUGGUCUCCCCUCCGGCAAUGGGGCGAUUGGAUUGUGGCAGAGCCAAUGGUUUCAUCCUACAAGGCUCGAUCCUCCUCUUUGUUGCUCGUUCGUGUUCCGCGAACUCCCUGUCCUGCUGUUCUGGUCAGCAUGGUGCUCUCCCACGGCAUGGUUGUUUUUCCCUCUUGUGUUGGCAUUUUCACUCUUUGGCCAGCUUCUGUAGCUCCGGCCAUAGAUGAUCGUUGUCUGCAAUUUUUCUGUUAUUUUCCGCACCUUGUAUCCUAGCCGGUUGUUGGCUUCAUUAAUUUGAAGUCGGCUAUAUGCCUUCCAUCUAAAAAGGAGUGCUUAAGAAUUCCACAGCGGAAAAUCAAACUGAGCUUCGGCUCUCCGCACGUGCCACCACAUGGAAUGGAAGCGCGACGGCGACGCCCAUCCAUGCCCAGGUUGAUGUGGACGGCCCCCGACAAGACGUGAGAUUUCAGCACUAGCUCCAGCAGUCCGGAUGAAUCUACGCAACAGCGUCCAUAACGAAGAAGAAACCAUGCGUGCAAGUGCGGCGCAGCUCGUAGGUACGUACUCAUCGUCUAAUCGUGCUGCCAUGCAUGAACCUACUGGACCUGGCUAAGCCGCUAGAGAGGGCCUGAACCCAGCCGGACUCCAAAAGGCCCAGCCCUACUCUCUAAGGCCUCAUUUGGUUGUUGGGGUGGAAAAAUCCAGGGAAAUAGGCCCCUAGGGGGAGAUCUUCGUGUGCAUAUGAAUCCCUCCCACCACGGGGGAAAUGGUCCCACUACCCCAUGUGCCCAAAUGGCAACAAGGGAGGGAAAGAAACCCCUCACGUAAAACAUACAGAUAUAACACAAUAGAUCAAAGAUAAUUAAAAAAAAGAUCAAAGAUAAAAACUGCACAAAUAAUUUUACAAUGAAACAGACACAUACAAAAACUUCAGAAUUCAUGUAAACUAUAAUUUUAUUAAAAAAAUACAACUGAUAUCCAUCACUUCACCAAGGUUCAAAUACCCAUCGGUCCACAUUUCAUUCCGAUUAAGCGGUGAGCUAAACCUUUUUCCGUGUUCCAACAUAAAAUCAAUCAAUAUAAUUGGCAUUGAUGCAUCAUUGUUUAAGUUUGUUCACUACAAAAAAUUCUGAAUUAUCAAAUUGUCAUGUCCGAGGCAUAGACACUUUCGAAUAGGAUGGGCUGCAAGGUGAAAAUCACUAGUCCUACUCAGGUCUUUUCUCCACUCCGCAUCUACAUCAGGUACCACAACUCGAUGUUCGUUGAACUACAAAAAAAGGAAGUUAGCACCAUGUAUCCAACUGAGAAUUGUAACAAUUACAUGAGCACAUGAUGACUAUAGCUUAGAUUUUUAAUAACAAUCAGCAGAACUUGUUGAGAAAAAAAAAAGAGCCAGAAUACUAACUUCUAUUUCUGGUUAUUGUGUCAUACAUUUCAGUAAUAAUUACUAAAUAAGUAAGGACAGAAGAAAGGAAGAUGAUAAGCAAUAGAUCAUUAUUGUCAAGCUUCCCGUCAAUAUAUAAUUCCAAAAUUAGUAAAAAUGGGGACAAAAAAUGUAUAAUGGGGAAAGUAAGGACAAAACAAACAUGGACUUUUUAGUGCAGAGAAUUAAAGGUGUCUAUCUAUAAAAGGAUGUAAGGCAGUCUAACAAACAAUUCACAAACAAUGUAUUCUCCGGCAGUGUCGUAAGUGUAAAUGAAUGCAUAGCAGAACUUGUGCAACAAAUAUAAAAAAUUGUUAUUGUUCUUCAGAAGACCCUAACCAACAGUAAGCAUCACUUCUAAAAAUAGUGUGCUAAGGAAGAUUCAAACCUGGAGCUAGCACAAGCACGAUGAAAGUAC